UUGGCUGAAGUCAUGCCAGUGGAUGGAUUUAGUGGAGGGGCCGACCCAGCUCAAGAUGGAAAGACAGCCAGAGACGCACUCGGGCGGGGGGGUUCCUUGGGGAAGGCUGAGGUCAGAGGGAUGAUGGGGUCACAGCAGCUCAGAGGGGAGGGAAGCCCUGAAAGACAGUGGCUACAAGUGGGCCCUGCAGAGAUACAAAAUGAGAUUUAAGAAGAGGCCUUGGAUUUGGCAUCAGGGGUUCAAAGGGGAGCUUUUAGGGAGCAGUGUGUGGGAGGGGAGGGGCUACUUCUAGGAGCACGAAGUUUGAGUUCUGUGUUUUUCCAAAGGCUACUUCCUUGGCCCUUUUUCUUUAUAGACUAGACCACCAGAGGAGGAUGUGUGGGAUUGUAGGCAAACCCACCUGUGGCAUCACUGAAAAUAAAUUUGAUCACACCUAAGAGGUUAGGAGAUGGUGCCAUUCCCACCUUAGAGCGCUAUAUAAAUACUUUGAGUGUAUGUAACAUUAGUAUCCUUCCUUGAAGCCACAAGCUAGUUUUCUUAGUUUUAAAAUCCUGUUGUAUGAAUGGCAUUUGUAUAUUGAAACACUUUU
rnacentral:sRNA from 1 species